ACCACUUUGCUUGUAUGGGUGGGUGUGGGCCGGGUACCUGAUUUUUUCCGCGUACCCAACCUUGGCUUUAGCCCCCUUAGAUAUCUCGUUCGAUGUACCAAUCUCGGCCUCGCGAGGACUGGGUAGCCGGGCUUUGGGUAUCCAGCCAGUGACAAAAGGCCGAAAGGGUUGAGGCAAGAGCGGUCAGCGAGGCGAAGGGGCGGAAACAUACCUGGUUUGAGCGAGACGCGACAAAGCCUAAGCGCAGCAAGGCAGCGAAAUUGCCCUCGUCUUUCAAAGCCUGGGGAGUCGAACGAAUCCCCAAUUUCUGAUUUGAGAAAAAAAUACUCAAAUAUAGAAAGAGCCUUGAGUCUUCCCCUCGCCGCUCUUAAUCACUCUUCGCCCUCUCGCCUCUAGAAAUUGCGCUCUCGCCGACUCACUCCUCUCUCCCCCUCGGGAUACGGCGACUUGGAUUCCGAAUAUUGGAUACCCAUGAGACAGAUACCCUUAAGCUCCGCGGGUUCCAGUACCCAUGUCCAGCCCAAUUUGCUCGCACUGAACUUUUCCUCAACAUGCCCUCUUUAUAUGUAUAUUGAAUCUUUUUUUUUUCA